rnacentral:sRNA from 1 species
AUAAAAAUACUUCUUCAAGUACAGCUCCAUUUCUGACCGUUCAAUCUAUGGCAAAGGCAGACUUUUUCCGAUCCUUCACCGUCUCGGAUUUAGUUUUCUCACCAUUGAAGAUCUAAUUUUCCUACCUUUCUCCAUGAGACGCUUUCCUUUAGGUCUCGGGGUGCUGAUUUUGCUUCACCGCCGUUCGUGGUAAGGAGUAUUUUGGUUUUGUUUCCUUUUGUGAGAGUUUCUAGUCUCAGAUCUGUUGAUUCUAUGUUUGUUUUACACUUUGUAUUUCUGGUUUUGAAUAUCAGGAUUAUGAGUCCGGAAAGUAUUUGUUCAGAUAUGAUGUAUUUGUAGCUUGGGUUUUUUCCCCUUUAGUUUGAUCUUGUAUUCGGGAGUUUUCAUUUGCUUGCCGACUUUAAUCUCUACAAGGAUUGUUUCCUUGUCGGCCUUUGUAAUCAUGUGACUCUAAAUUUUAUCAAUAAAAUCCUUAUUCUACUAAG